rnacentral:rRNA from 1 species
CAGGGGCGGGUGCGUACGCGUAUGCACUUGCCCUUAUCAGGAGGAUAGCCCGGGGAAACUCGGAUUAAUACUCCAUAAGAUUUUGAUUGGCAUCGAUUAAAAUUGAAAGAUUUAUUGGAUAAGGAUAGGCAUGCGUCAGAUUAGUUAGUUGGUAGUGUAACGGACUACCAAGGCGAUGAUCUGUAGGGGGCCUGAGAGGGUGAACCCCCACACUGGUACUGAGACACGGACCAGACUCCUACGGGAGGCAGCAGUGAGGAAUAUUGGACAAUGGAGGGAACUCUGAUCCAGCCAUCCCGCGUGCAGGAAGACGGCCCUAUGGGUUGUAAACUGCUUUUGUAUGGGGAUAAAUCUACCUACGUGUAGGUAGUUGAAGGUACCAUACGAAUAAGCAUCGGCUAACUCCGUGCCAGCAGCCGCGGUAAUACGGAGGAUGCAAGCGUUAUCCGGAUUCAUUGGGUUUAAAGGGUCCGUAGGCGGGCUGAUAAGUCAGUGGUGAAAUUUUGUCGCUCAACGAUAAAACUGCCAUUGAUACUGUUAGUCUUGAGUGAUAUUGAAGUAGCUGGAAUGUGUAGUGUAGCGGUGAAAUGCAUAGAUAUUACACAGAACACCGAUUGCGAAGGCAGGUUACUAAGUAUUAACUGACGCUGAAGGACGAAAGCGUGGGGAGCGAACAGGAUUAGAUACCCUGGUAGUCCACGCAGUAAACGAUGCUAACUCGUUUUCGGGGAGUGAUCUUCGGAGCCCCAGCGGAAAAAAAAA